rfam:Citrus clementina cultivar Clemenules unplaced genomic scaffold scaffold_3, whole genome shotgun sequence.
GCGUCUCAACAACGAAAAUAUCGACUCUAGCAUUGAUAAAGAAUGUAGGGAAAUGUGAUACUUGAUGUGAAUUGUAGAAUUCCAUGAAUCAUCGAGUAUUUGAACACAAGUUGCGCCCCAAGCCAUUAGGCCAAGGGCACGUCUGCCUAGAUGUCA